rnacentral:rRNA from 1 species
UAACACUCCGAAAAGGAGUGCUAAUACCGGAUGUAGUUGCGGUACUGCAUGGUACUGCAAAAAAAGGAGAAAUCCACUUUGGGAUGGGCCCGCGUCUGAUUAGCUAGUUGGUGGGGUAACGGCCUACCAAGGCGACGAUCAGUAGCCGACCUGAGAGGGUGAUCGGCCACACUGGGACUGAGACACGGCCCAGACUCCUACGGGAGGCAGCAGUCGGGAAUAUUGGUCAAUGGGGGAAACCCUGAACCAGCAAUGCCGCGUGAGUGAUGAAGGUUUUCGGAUCGUAAAGCUCUGUCUUUGGGGACGAAUAAAUGACGGUACCCGAGGAGGAAGCCCCGGCUAACUACGUGCCAGCAGCCGCGGUAAUACGUAGGGGGCGAGCGUUGUCCGGAAUUACUGGGCGUAAAGGGCGAGUAGGCGGUUUAAUAAGUCAGAUGUGAAAUGCCAGGGCUCAACCCUGGAACUGCAUUUGAAACUAUUAGACUUGAGUGCAGGAGAGGAAAGUGGAAUUCCCAGUGUAGCGGUGAAAUGCGUAGAUAUUGGGAGGAACACCAGUGGCGAAGGCGACUUUCUGGACUGUAACUGACGCUGAGGCGCGAAAGCGUGGGGAGCAAACAGGAUUAGAUACCCU